rnacentral:misc_RNA from 1 species
GAUGAAGAACGCAGCGAAAUGCGAUAAGUAAUGCGAAUUGCAGAAUUCCAGUGAGUCAUCGAAUCUUUGAACGCACAUUGCGCCCUUUGGUAUUCCGAAGGGCAUGCCUGUUCGAGCGUCAUUAUCACCCCUCAAGCCCUCGGCUUGGUGUUGGACGGUUUGGUGGAGGCCCCCUCGGGGGCUCCUGCCCCACCCAAAGACAAUGACGGCGGCCUCGUUUGACCCCCGGUACACUGAGUUCUUCACGGGACACGUAUCGGACACAUGGGUUUACGGGACACGGUCUGCCUCCCCUCAGGGAGAAUCUUUCUAAGGUUGACCUCGGAUCAGGUAGGGAUACCCGCUGAACUUAAGCAUAUCAAUAAGCGGAGGA